GCUUCCCCUGCUAUCUUGACAUUUUUUAAGCCAAACCUCUUUCUGAAAUUAUCAAACCAACCUUUGCUGGCACUAAAUUCUCCAGCCUUGGAUCCUUCACCUUCCUUUUGCUGUAAGUGGUCAUACAAUGACUUUGCUUUUUCUCGAAUCGUGUUCGAGUCUAUAGGUAUGCCUUUCUUAUAGCAAUCCUGCACCCACGUAAAAGCUGCAUUUUCAAUACGAGAUAAAAAGCUGUCUCGCAGAAAGUGCAACGUUCUCGCGCCUGCUGGCGUAGCUGCCGCCACAGCCUCAUGGAUUUCCUUUUCCUUUUUUACAAUGGUCCUUACGCUGGAUUCAUUCAUCUUGAAAUGACGGGCCACUGCAGCCGCAGACCUUAAUCUACGGUACAUGUCAAGCAAUUCGACUUUUUCUUGUAAUGUCAUGACCUUUCUCUGCCUCUUGGGAGCACUUCCAGAAUCACCAGUGGCGUUUCGUAUGGGUCCCAUGGUGUUAUUCAAGGUUUACAGUAUUGCGCUAAACAUGAUGAAAACUAUGCAAGAACCACGGGAUCACUUUUUACAGCCAUUUGAAAUUUACGAGUGACGAACUGAUCUCGAGGAGAGGAUUAGCAACACACGGUUUUAAGCUUGGAAAUCACAACACUUGAGAUCACCACAGCAAGAGGAGGUGGCUAUGAUAUUCUUACAGUCGUAGAGUAUGUACUGCAGUUAAUUUUAUGCAGUUAUUUAAUACUGCAUCUUUGUUUCCAUUUCUCUCAAUUAUGAAUGAUGCCAUGUACAGUCUGUACACUUUGAUAAACCUUUUUGUAACAAACUUGUGUAUACUUCAUGGAAGUAAAUGAUAACCUAGCAUCUAC